GUGCACUACGCACGCAAACUCUACCAACCCGAGAGGCAGUUUCCAGGGGAAGAUCCGGCACCAAUAACAUCUGCCGAAACUGCGGGUUGGAAGAGGAGACAUUAUCCCACAUUCUGCAGAACUGCCAUCGAACUAAUAAGAUAAGGAUACAUCGACACAACGCAGUUCUGCAGAUAUUAACUCAACAUCUUUGCAGGAGGAAUUGGAGAAUCCAAGAAGAGCCACUGAUCCCAACUCCUGGGGGUAAUGUUAUUAAGCCAGAUGUCUUGGCGACGGAUCCGGAGGGAAACCUCUAUGUCAUAGACGCAGCGUGCCCGUACGAAGGGGGAGGCGACUCCCUCUGGAGGCCGCUGCGGCGAAAGUGGAAAAAUACUCCGCCUACGAAAAUCUAUUCGGCGGUACAUAGGGAGGACCCCACGAAAGACCAUCUUCGUCGGAUUCGUGGUGGGGGCUCGUGGCGCCAUGCCACCUCAGACACAAGAGUUCUGCAAGCAGGUAGGUCUUGGUAAGGGCAAAUUACAUCUUAUGUCAGUACGGGCCAUAGAAGGAAGCCUCAAAAUCUUCCGAUUAUUUAUGGCCCUGUAGUGUUAAAACUCGGGUACGCACCCACGGAGUAUACGCAAGUGGUACUUCGGUAAUGCGAAAAGACAAGGUGUUAAGGAUCCUAACCCCAUGGUAAGGAACCUAUAUACCACGUCAUACAUAGCCAAAUGCCUCGUCAUCUAAUUAGUGACGCGCAUGAAUGGAUUAACGAGAUUCCCGCUGUCCCUAUCUACUAUCUAGCGAAACCACAGCCAAGGGAACGGGCUUGGCAUAAUUAGCGGGGAAAGAAGACCCUGUUGAGCUUGACUCUAGUCCGACUUUGUGAAGAGACAUGAGAGGUGUAGGAUAAGUGGGAGGUCUUCGGGCCGACGGUGAAAUACCACUACUCCCAUCGUUUUUUUACUUAUUCAGUAAAGCGGGGAGCGACCCUCGGGU
rnacentral:ncRNA from 1 species